rnacentral:rRNA from 1 species
CACGUAGGGCGCAAGCGUUUGUCCGGAAUUAUUGGGCGUAAAGAGCUCGUAGGCGGUUUGUCGCGUCUGCUGUGAAAACCCGAGGCUCAACCUCGGGCCUGCGAGUGGGUACGGGCAGACUAGAGUGCGGUAGGGGGAGAUUGGAAUUCCUGGUGUAGCGCUGGAAUGCGCAGAUUAUCAGGAGGAACACCAAUGGCGAAGGCAGAUCUCUGGGCCGAUA